UACGGGGGGAGCAAGCGUUGUUCGGAUUUACUGGGCGUAAAGGGCGCGUAGGCGGUCAGCACAAGUCAGUUGUGAAAUCUCCGGGCUUAACUCGGAAAGGUCAACUGAUACUGUGCGACUAGAGUGCAGAAGGGGCAACUGGAAUUCUCGGUGUAGCGGUGAAAUGCGUAGAUAUCGAGAGGAACACCUGCGGCGAAGGCGGGUUGCUGGGCUGACACUGACGCUGAGGCGCGAAAGCGUGGGGGAGCAAACAGG
rnacentral:rRNA from 1 species